GAGCGGAUGACGGGAGCUUGCUCCUUGAUUCAGCGGCGGACGGGUGAGUAAUGCCUAGGAAUCUGCCUGGUAGUGGGGGACAACGUUUCGAAAGGAACGCUAAUACCGCAUACGUCCUACGGGAGAAAGCAGGGGACCUUCGGGCCUUGCGCUAUCAGAUGAGCCUAGGUCGGAUUAGCUAGUUGGUGGGGUAAUGGCUCACCAAGGCGACGAUCCGUAACUGGUCUGAGAGGAUGAUCAGUCACACUGGAACUGAGACACGGUCCAGACUCCUACGGGAGGCAGCAGUGGGGAAUAUUGGACAAUGGGCGAAAGCCUGAUCCAGCCAUGCCGCGUGUGUGAAGAAGGUCUUCGGAUUGUAAAGCACUUUAACUUGGGAGGAAGGGCAGUAAGCUAAUACCUUGCUGUUUUGACGUUACCGACAGAAUAAGCACCGGCUAACUACUGUG
rnacentral:rRNA from 1 species